GCUAAGAAGAGAGAAUGCCGGAAUGAGUAGCGAGAGCAAGGUGGGAAUCCUUGCGGCCGAAUAUCCAAGGUUUCCAGAGUAAAGCUGAUCUGCUCUGGGUAAGUCGGGGCCUAAGGAGAGGCAGAGAUGCGUAUCCGAUGGACAGCAGGUUUAAGAUUCCUGCACCCCUUGUUAUCAGAACUGCGGGGACACGGGAAGGGAAGCAGAGCCGGGAAUGGAAAGCCCGGUGCAAGCGAAGUAGUCGCAGGGCUGGAAAAUCCGCCCUGCAUGAGACGAAGGCGUGAUGCGGAGCGAAAUGAAGUAGUGAAGCUGCGGCCCCUUCCUGUCGAGAAAAGCCGCUAUCGUGUAGCAAGGGCCCGUACCGUAAACCGACACAGGUGGAUGAGGAGAGGAUCCUAAGGCCGGCGGGAGAAGUGUUGUUAAGGAACUCGGCAAAAUGACUCCGUAACUUCGGGAGAAGGAGUGCUGCGCAAGCAGCCGCAGAGAAAUGGCCCAAGCAACUGUUUAGCAAAAACACAGGUCUAUGCGAAACCGGAAGGUGAGGUAUAUGGGCUGACGCCUGCCCGGUGCUGGAAGGUUAAGGGGAGAGCUUAGCGCGAGCGAAGGUUUGAACUUAAGCCCCAGUAAACGGCGGCCGUAACUAUAACGGUCCUAAGGUAGCGAAAUUCCUUGUCGGGUAAGUUCCGACCCGCACGAAAGGCGUAAUGAUUUGGGCACUGUCUCAACAACACACCCGGUGAAAUUGAAAUACCAGUGAAGAUGCUGGUUACCCGCGCCAGGACGGAAAGACCCCAUGGAGCUUUACUCCAGCCUGAUACUGGGAUUCGGUAUUGCAUGUACAGGAUAGGUGGGAGGCUGAGAACUCAUGGCGCCAGCCGUGAGGGAGCCGGUGUUGGGAUACCACCCCUGCAGUACUGGGUUUCUAACCUGCGCCCGUGACCCGGGCGGGGGACAAUGUCAGGCGGGGAGUUUGACUGGGGCGGUCGCCUCCGAAAGGGUAUCGGAGGCGCUCAAAGGUCUCCUCAGGAUGGUUGGAAACCAUCCAGAGAGUGCAAAGGCAGAAGGAGGCUUGACUGCGACACCGACGGGUGGAGCAGGUACGAAAGUAGGACUUAGUGAUCCGGUGGCAUAAAGUGGGAUUGCCAUCGCUCAACGGAUAAAAGCUACCCUGGGGAUAACAGGCUUAUCACUCCCAAGAGUUCACAUCGACGGAGUGGUUUGGCACCUCGAUGUCGGCUCAUCGCAUCCUGGAGCUGGAGCAGGUUCCAAGGGUUGGGCUGUUCGCCCAUUAAAGCGGUACGCGAGCUGGGUUCAGAACGUCGUGAGACAGUUCGGUCCCUAUCCGGCGCGGGCGCAGGAUAUCUGAGAGGAGCUGUCCUUAGUACGAGAGGACCGGGAUGGACCGUCCGCUGGUGGACCGGUUGUCAUGCCAAUGGCACGGCCGGGUAGCCAAGACGGGAAGGGAUAAACGCUGAAGGCAUCUAAGCGUGAAGCCCCCCUCAAGAUGAGAUAUCCA
rnacentral:rRNA from 1 species